GGAUAUAACUCAGUUGGUAGAGUGCUUGCUUCCCACGCACAAGGACCUGGGUUCAAUCCCCAGAACCA
rnacentral:tRNA from 1 species